GAAUGACGGUGACCACAGGAUCACCACCGUCACACCACCACGACGGUCACCGCUUGGUGUCUCUAUUUUAUGGGUUUCUUGACAAUGUGGAAAGACGUCUCUGUUUUGUGGGUUUCUUGACAGUGUGGAAAGACGUCUCUGUUUUGUGGCUGUUUUGUGGGUUUCUUGACAGUGUGGAAAGACACGGUUGUUGAUCUGUAAAACUUGGAACCGACCGGAAAGACAGUACGGUGGGAUGGUUCAUAUCCAGGCUAUUGGACAGAAGACAUGUCUUUUCUUUGUCUCUUUGCCGAUGACCAACCACCCACCACCAGAGAACCGACGCCGCUCAAUCGUCUGAUAAGUGUGGAUGCUAAAUCAUGAGACGGUUACCAUCACCACCCGCGCUGCACUAUCAUCACCGUGUACGGCCUAUUUACGCUAAUAUUAGAGUUAUGGAUCCUAUGAGAAAAUCCAAAUGCGACCUGUAAUCGUAAAUCAUGUAUCAGAAUCAGACGAAGUGGCCGCAGUUCGAAGCCAUCAAUGGAUGUGGCGGUGGUUACUAUAAUCAAGUGUGUAAUUGAGAAUAUCCACCUUUGUCGCCAACUAAUUUGCUUUGAAAGAUUGCAAGAUGUUGAGUUAGGGGCACAUAUUUAGGCACACCUGGUAUAAAUUAGUUAUUAUUUCUGGAGAGUAUCGGAGUUCAUCUUUGAAGCACAAUUAUUAUCUUCCCGUCCGCUUUGACGCGUUUCAUUUGCAGACCAACUAUGCUCUUUAUUAUAUUCCCGUCCGCUUCAACGCGCUUCAUUUGCAAAUAAACUACGCAUUGACGUUAGCCGAAUAUGUGAACAGGAUCCCUUGGGCUUGCAGAGUUGCAGGUUCUGACUUCUAUAUACUAUGUUUUUGUUCACACCUAAACAGCACAACAUUGAUUUUCUUACUACAUGUAUGGUGAAUAAAUAUUGGUUAAUAUUGUAAUGGAUCUACAAUUGGGAGGUGUAUAAUUAUAGCUCUCAAGGGUAUCAUUGGUGCCCAUGCUUCAUGCAUGUAAGGUAGACUGCUUGUAAUAUAAUGGUAUUGGGUGUUUAGUCAGCAACUUUGGGUUCAUGUUGGUCAUUUGUUUUUACGGAUCAUGUUAUAUUGGGUUCAUGUGUUGUAAUACCGGGCUACUGUAAAUUGAUGAGUAUAGUGACUCUCAGUGUAUU
rnacentral:lncRNA from 1 species